ACUGCUACAAAGUACUGAAUAAAGGAUAUGAAUACUUAUGUGCAUGAGUUAUAUCUUUUUUUUAUUGGCAAAAAUAUCUAAAAACGUAUUUUUAUUAUUGGGUAUUGUUUGUAGGUAGAUGAGAAUUUUUUUUUUGUCAAUUGUAAAUAAAGUCUAUAACACAACAGAUGCAGAGAAAGUGAUGGGGUCUCAGAAUGUUUUCCAAAGGCUCUGAGCACCACAACUUCAGUCAGUCAGCAUUCGGGGAGGUUUAUAAUAUAAUUUCUAUACAUUUCUAUGUUCUCUUAAUAUGAUUAGCUGUAUGAAAGGUUUGAGAGAUUGAGAAAGCGACAGAGGAAGAGAGAAAACUGAAUUGAAAGAACAGGUAAGCAGCGAGGUGUCUUUAUUUUGUUGCAAUUUGACAAACAACAAGCUGGCAUUCAUGAAUACAUACGUCUACAAAAGCCAUUCUAAUGUAUUAUUUAAAGUACUAGCGACUGUAACAAAUGAUGAUGCAGGAGUAGUAGUACUUUAAUAGUACCUUAUUAGUACUCUAGUAGUAUACUGUAUAUAGUAUAUACUCUAUACGGUAAAUACUAUGCUUUGUUUAUACGGUAUUCUGUAGUAGUACUGAAGUAAUACUAUUCAUUGAAAAACAAUAAGAAUAAUAAAACAAUAAAAAAAAAUAUGGCACUCUUUAUAUAUUUAUUAUAUUGCUUUGUCCAAAUAUAACCUCCCUUAUAUUUUAAAUAGCGAUGAUAUAAAUCUUUCUCGUCAUCAUCCUCAUCAUCCAAUUAAAUAUCUUUGCAUUUAAAUAUCAAAUAUAUUUAUAUAUUGAUGUGUUAUAUUAUUGCUAACAUCAACUGUAAUGUCAAAGCUAUAAUAAUUGUAUAAUAACAGUCAAAAUAAUCGUAAUAAUAAUCUAAAUGCAAAUCAGUACUUCAUGGGGUGUAGUUUUACAGAAAAUAACUGUAAUCAAUUUGGACUAGAAUUCUGAGGGGAGUGGUUUCUCAGGACAUGCACAAAGGGAUAACAUUGGAGGAAAAAGGGGAAGCCGGCCCUGUUAUUGGAAAAGAUGGGCUUGAGCAGCUGUCACUCAUCAUUAGAUCAAUCACACAGCCAAUCCAUUCACACAUGCAUUCUUUUCAUUCAAACAAAGUGGAUAUGUCCUAAAUGGCAUUUUAUUCCCUAAUGUUGUACACUACUUUUGACCAAGUAGUAGACUAUAUGGGGAAGUGAGUGCCAUUUAGUACUCACACAGUAUCUAAAGAAUUACAGAUAGUCUUUCACUUUAAAUCAUUUUCAAUAUAUGUAACUAUUUUUUAUAUUACUUUUACUUUUAAAGCUAGACUACUCUACUCCAGUCGUUAAAUAGGAGUUGUACAUGCCUGGUAAAUAAACCAAUCAUAAUACUUCACUGGGAUACCUGCUGACCAAUCAGGCUGAUCCUGAUCUCUUCUGUGUCAAUGAAUGCCGGUUCAAAUAAAUGACAUCACAGAAUGACAUCAUACAAGCGUGACGUCACAUAAAUAUUGUAUACACAGAUGAAUGGACAGAUACAAGCCCAGGUGAAUAAAGACAGGCAGGAACAGGGACACAUACAAAAGAAAAGCAAACAUUUAGAGGUGGACAAAAGGACAAAUAGAUGGAACAUACAACACAACACACACCACCCCUGAAAGCAACCAAACCUGGAACUGUGUCAACAUGACGUGAUGAAGAGACAGUCCCUUGUUAAUUUUUUACCAUCUCUAGAUGAUUUAAACCGAGAAGCCUGCAACUGAAUAUACAAAUGACUGCGAAAGGCAAGUGGACAGUACAGUAAAUGUCACAGUUAAUGAUAAACAACCUUGGCAGACAGAAACAGAGCAUGUGUUUUCUUUUCCUGUCCUUCUUUCUCUCCCCCUGCCUCCCCCUCCCUGUCUUCCUCUUACUGACUUUGUCUUCCAUUCUCUUUCUCUUUCUCUCUCUCCAUCGCACUUUUCUCCCUUUCUUCAUAUUUUUCUUCCUGAUCUCGCCAUCUCUCUCUCUCUCUCCCUCCGUCAGCCGCAGUCUCUGCAUCGGUACAACCAAGCCAGGGAUGUCAGUCUGGUAAAUGGCUGACGCAGCGCCCUGUCGUUUCACCGGAGCUCUGAGUGAAUUACUCACGCGGCCGCGCGCACACGCUGAGUGAAUUACUUCAGCCUCCAUUAGACUAACGAGAACGCCUGUCCUCCUGGGGAUGAUGGAGGGACGGGGUGAGCGGAGAGGUGGGGGGGAGAGAGGGGGAGGUGGAGAGGAGAGAAUGAUGGAUAGGAGUAAAGGAGAGAGGGAUGGUAGGAGGGAGGAGGGGAACGAGACACGUCGGCCUUUGGCACGGAGACUGUAUCAGUACGCACGCGCCAACACAGACAAACACACACACUCACACUCACACUGCACUCUGUUGCCGGGACAACGAUGAGAGGGACUGGCAUGCACCAGGGACUAGUGACGUAAAGAUGAUUUACAGAGGUAUGUGGAUAUUACGCCAUACAAAGUUCAUACGCCAUCGCUCUCACGCUCUGACAAGUGGAUUGAAAGACGUGCACAGAAGACCUACGUUCAAGCAACAUUUCAACGAUCGCCAAGAAGGACACAAGCAACAUGUGCCACAAAUACUGCAGGGCCGCAUGGAGUUUAACACAC
ensembl:lncRNA